rnacentral:misc_RNA from 1 species
CAACCCUCGAGCCCCCCCGGGGGCCUCGGUGUUGGGGGACGGCACACCAGCCGCCCCCGAAAUGCAGUGGCGACCCCGCCGCAGCCUCCCCUGCGUAGUAGCACACACCUCGCACCGGAGCGCGGAGGCGGUCACGCCGUAAAACGCCCUACGGCACUAUAA